GAUGAACGCUGGCGGCGUGCCUAAUACAUGCAAGUCGAGCGAACAGACGAGGAGCUUGCUCCUCUGACGUUAGCGGCGGACGGGUGAGUAACACGUGGAUAACCUACCUAUAAGACUGGGAUAACUUCGGGAAACCGGAGCUAAUACCGGAUAAUAUAUUGAACCGCAUGGUUCAAUAGUGAAAGACGGUUUUGCUGUCACUUAUAGAUGGAUCCGCGCCGCAUUAGCUAGUUGGUAAGGUAACGGCUUACCAAGGCAACGAUGCGUAGCCGACCUGAGAGGGUGAUCGGCCACACUGGAACUGAGACACGGUCCAGACUCCUACGGGAGGCAGCAGUAGGGAAUCUUCCGCAAUGGGCGAAAGCUUGACGGAGCAACGCCGCGUGAGUGAUGAAGGUCUUCGGAUCGUAAAACUCUGUUAUUAGGGAAGAACAACUGUGUAAGUAACUAUGCCCGUCUUGACGGUACCUACUCAGAAAGCCACGGCUAACUACGUG
rnacentral:rRNA from 1 species